AUAUGUUGCAGCUUUCAAUUCAAAGAGUGAGAAAUUUGAAGGCUUUGAGGCCUGCGAUCUUUGCUCUCAGAAGCUCUCACUUCUCCACAGCUGCCGAGCCGUCUUCCAAGCAGGGUAGCCCUCCGAGCGUUCCCAAUCUAAUUGGAGGUAGUUUUGUUAAAUCACAAUCAUCUGCGUCCAUUGAUGUUAUCAACCCUGCAACACAAGAAGUUGUUUCACAAGUUCCUUUGACCACAAAUGAAGAGUUUAAA